GGAUGUGAGGGUGAUCUGGCUGCGACAUCUGUCACCCCAUUGAUCGCCAGGGUUGAUUCGGCUGAUCUGGCUGGCUAGGCGGGUGUCCCCUUCCUCCCUCACCGCUCCAUGUGCGUCCCUCCCAAAGCUGCGCGCUCGGUCGAAGAGGACAACCAUCCCCGCUAGAGCAGGACCGGUCUUCGGUCAAGGGUAUACGAGUAGCUGUGCUCCCUUGCUAGAACCUCCAAACAAGCUCUCAAGGUAUAUUAAAUCCAUUUCGACUUAGGGUGUUUUAUGUUUAUCAUGGAUUUUUGGACACAGAGCCCCAUUAUAAGCACAGAAACAUCUGUCAUUAUUAGAACAUGUUUGG
rnacentral:sRNA from 1 species